rnacentral:rRNA from 1 species
UUGAACGCUGGCGGCAUGCCUUACACAUGCAAGUCGCACGGCAGCACGGGUGCUUGCACCUGGUGGCGAGUGGCGAACGGGUGAGUAAUACAUCGGAACAUGUCCUGUAGUGGGGGAUAGCCCUGCGAAAGCCGGAUUAAUACCUCAUACGAUCUACGUAUGAAAGCGGGGGUCCUUCGUGCCUCGCGCUUUUGGGUUGUCCGAUGGCUGAUUUGCUAGUUGGUGUGGUAAAGGCCUACCAAGGCGACGAUCAGUAGCUGGUCGGAGAGGACGACCAGCCACACUGGGACUGAGACACGGCCCAGACUCCUACGGGAGGCAGCAGUGGGGAAUGUUGGACAAUGGGCGAAAGCCUGAUCCAGCAAUGCCGCGUGUGUGAAGAAGGCCUUCGGGUUGUAAAGCACUUUUGUCCGGAAAGAAAUCCUUGGCCCUAAUACGGUCGGGGGAUGACGGUACCGGAAGAAUAAGCACCGGCUAACUACGUG